GGGCGGAGCAAAGUGUGUGUGCAGGAGAGGAGUCGAGCAGAGAGAGCUGCUUUUUCAUGAAACGGGAGGAAAGUAGUGAACUUACAGGAACAAAUACCACUACCAACGUUUGGAUCGAUAUCUGCAUCGAUCUGCACACCCUUGUCUCCUGGAUUGUAGCUGAGAUCAGCGUGAACCACGUGGGUCUCUGCUCCCUGAUCUGUUUCCUUUUUGGAAAGACUUCCAGCUUCAUCGCGGAGUUUCUCUCGGUUUGUGGGCUCAUCUAAAGCUGAGUAACAGGAGGAGAAGAGUCUGGUGGUGCAGCAGAGGAA